CUAAGGAUCCUUCAAAUGUAAUUGUUAAAUGAAAAAAAAUCAGCAAAAAAAAGUAUAACAGUCACACAAUCACAAAUAUGUACACAUAUGGAAACACACAUGCACAGAGAGACACACAGGAUCAAAUUCAGUCAACCAGUCUAAAUAUAUUGAAUUUAAAUCAUACAAUAAGAUGCUCCCAUAAAAACUCUCUCUCGCCCUCUCUUUCUCUCUCUCUCUGUCACACACACACACACACACACACACACACACACACACACAGGGAGAGAAAAUCAAGUUUCUAGCUCAGUCAAGCAGCCUGGGAGCUGCUAAAUUUGAAUCCACCAAUCAGAGAGGCUGUGUACUUUUUCC
ensembl:lncRNA